GCGCGAGGCCGGCACCGAUCCGACGUUGCCUGUGGAGGGAGAGCGGGCAGCUGGCAGCAAAGAACCACAUCCGGACCCGGGGCUGGAACUCAAAGUGGAACCCGAUGAGGUCACAUGGUUCCUGCUCAGCAUCCAUCAACAAUGUCUUCAUGCUCCAUUUGUCCGGCCAGCCAGCUGAAAACAAUCCAAAGGAGGCCGGCUCGCAGGCCGAAUGCAUCAAGUUGUGGCUGCGCUGGCGCUUUACAUGACAGCACCAAGGAAAGUGGGAGGAGCUUCCGGGUCCAGCCGGCUUGACGACCACGAUAACCCCCACACCUGUCCCCGUGAGCAAGCGCCUUUCAAGCCUUUACACGACGGUACCUCCACAUCGCGACAAUUUGAGCUCAAAGGUGCACUGAUAAGUGGAAGAGGCUAUCGGAAUGUGAUUGGAUGAACGAAUCGAGGGGCGGGGACGGGCGAGGCUGCCGCGGCGUGGACAGCGAGGAGUGCAUAAGUCCACACAGCUUGUUGAAAACAAUGAUGUCAUAGUUUCAUGGGUGUUGAAUCAACGAUCGCCACCUUAGUGUGCAUGACAAAAAUCUGCUUGAUUUUUUUUUUUUUUUUGACCUUUCACACAGGGGCUGUCAUCCCUGAAUCCCCAUGAACAAAGUUCACAAAUUGACGCGCCCACCCUGCGCUAAAAAUCUUUAGAAUUCCCUCGAUAUCACAAGAUGGCGGCAAAGCACUCCUUUUGUCUAAAUUUUAAAAAAUGAAAAAGCCAAUUUGUGCCAAUUGGGAAGGUGGGAAUGGGAGAACGACUUCCAAGUAACGACUCGGCGACAAGAAUGUUACCGCCGGCGUCAUGGCAACCUGGCAUCGGAUAACUUCUCUGUUGUACUGGGAAGGAUUCAAUAGCGAAGGGGUUGGGGGGAGGGGGGGGGGGAUCUUUUUGUGGAACCCCGCUAGCAGUGUCACUGAUGCAAAACAAAGACACUCUGUCUCCUCACAACGCCGGAGGUCCAAACAUCUCGCUUCUGGUGGAUACGGGGCAAAGGUUCUACAACAAGGAACCGCCUUACCCCCGUCCACUUCCUGUUUACGUUGGCUCCACAGGCUCACUCGCUUGCGUUUCAUUGAAUUACACUCAGACGAUGCCGCCAUGCAUUAUUUUAGUAGCACCUCUUAUGUUCCAAAAAAUGAUUUGCCAGUCAUUACACGUUACAUAAUAAGUAAUGCAUCAAGUCAAGCUUAAUAUCAGGGAAUGUUUUUCCUCCCCUUGUCUAUUAUUGGUUUGCGUGACUAAUAUUAAAGUUUAGUCACAGUCACAUAUGAAAAGCCUAAAAUUGCAUCAGACUUUUGAAAUGAAUGCUAUCACAGUG